CCUACGGGAGGCUGCAGUGAGGAAUAUUGGUCAAUGGGCGGGAGCCUGAACCAGCCAAGUCGCGUGAGGGAAGACGGUCCUACGGAUUGUAAACCUCUUUUGCCGGGGAGCAACGGGGUCCUUGCGAGGGCCCGCUGAGAGUACCCGGAGAAAAAGCAUCGGCUAACUCCGUGCCAGCAGCCGCGGUAAUACGGGGGUGGCCAGCGUUGUCCGGAUUUACUGGGUGUAAAGGGCGUGUAGCCGGGCUGACAAGUCAGAUGUGAAAUUCCGGGGCUCAACCCCGGACCUGCAUUUGAAACUGUUGGUCUGGAGUAUAGGAGAGGCAGGCGGAAUUCCUAGUGUAGCGGUGAAAUGCGUAGAUAUUAGGAGGAACACCAGUGGCGAAGGCGGCCUGCUGGACGACAACUGACGGUGAGGCGCGAAAGCGUGGGUAUCAAACAGGAUUAGAUACCCUGGUAGUC
rnacentral:rRNA from 1 species